CGGCCUUAGCGCGGUGGUCCCACCUGACCCCAUGCCGAACUCAGAAGUGAAACGCCGUAGCGCCGAUGGUAGUGUGGGGUUUCCCCAUGCGAGAGUAGGGAACUGCCAGGCA
rnacentral:rRNA from 1 species